rfam:Rhizophagus irregularis DAOM 181602 strain DAOM 197198 GLOINscaffold_55_Cont55, whole genome shotgun sequence.
AUACUUACCUGGCGCGGCAUCUCUGUGAUCAACAAGGCAGAGAUGCGGGUGAUGGUUGCUGGCAUUGCACAGCGCUGGCGGCUACUGCUCCGAACAUCCGCAUGGAUGUCUCGAGCGCAUAAUUUCUGGUAGUUGGGGUUGUCAUGGUUCGCCGUGGCCACCCCUA